rnacentral:rRNA from 1 species
CUUCCGCCGGCGACCGGCGCACGGGUGAGUAACACGUAUGCAACCUGCCCCUGUCAGGGGGACAACCCGCCGAAAGGCGGGCUAAACCCGCGUACAUGCCACCGGGGCAUCCCGGAGGCAGGAAAGGCUUCGGCCGGACAGGGAUGGGCAUGCGGCGCAUUAGGCAGUAGGCGGGGUAACGGACCACCAAGACGACGAUGCGUAGGGGUUCUGAGAGGAAGGUCCCCCACACUGGUACUGAGACACGGACCAGACUCCUACGGAAGGCAGCAG